rnacentral:lncRNA from 1 species
UCGGGAGAAAAGCUGCCAAAACGACGCGUUUUUCGUGGAUGAAUGUGCCGAGCAAGUUGAAACUUUACUGGAAGCUCAUGAUUCUCUGGAUUAAAUGUGCCACGGAAGAUGACUAAUUCCAUAAAUCCAUCGCCAAUACUACAAAGGGAAGCUCGGCUGUGGCUAGCAGGAAUUCGACGGCGGAUAGGGAGCAAAACGAGUAUCAGAAACCCAUAUUUAUUUACUCAGUUUAUCAUGUUUUCAAUAAUCGUGGGAAAUGUUCGGGGUUUGUACGGAUUUGUUGAACCAUUUUGUUUUCACUGUGAUGUCAAGAAGGCUAUUGUUAUUUAUUUUACUUUAAUGCGCUUUGUCAAGGAGUUAUUUGCUUUAUUAUCUGGGUUGUCCAAGGAUGUUGUGCCUGGCUACUUUGGGCAAAGUUUUUCAACUACAGUGUCAGUGUAUAUAUGGAUUGGAGAGUGGAAUGUCAAUGGAUUUCCUCGGCAUGUUUGCUAGUAAUGUCUGAAAUAUUAUAAUGACUAUAAAGUAUAGUCAGGUAUAUUGUAACAGUUGUGAAGAUGUAUUCUCUCAAACUCUCUCAGCAUUCACAUUAUGACAUUAUUAAUUAUUAUAAGAGCUAAAUAGCUGAUAAAUAGUGUAUUGCCUGCCUCCAUCCCUUCCUUUCUGUGAUGGAUUGUCACCCUUGGUCCCUUUAUACCCAAUGACUCUUCACAGCUGUUGCAAACAUAUCAAAACAUUGUUAAGAUAAUUGGUAAUUCUUAAAAUGCCCAUGCAUAACAUUUCUACCUAUGUCUCCAAAAUUAUCAGCAUGUAUGUACCAUUAUUACAUGUAUUUAUACUGUUACUGUGGCAAUGACCAACAAGUAAUGGGAAUUGCCAAAUAGUUGUCCAUUUCAUGAUGUCAGAGUAUGUUUCUCUGAUGACUGGUUUUCUAUAAAUACCCAGAUAGCAAAGGAAACAACUCAAAUAUUUUAGUGAAGUGAAAAUUAAAAAUAUAAUUUCUCUUUGCAAUAUUGGUGUUGGAAUUUUGAAAUGAGUCAACCCUGAACCAAGUGUUGUAGGUUUUCUCUGGGUAUUACGGUUUACUCACACAGGAAGAAAAAUCUGUUUGAAAAAGUUGUCCACUUUCAUGACCAUUUGACUGGCACUGCAUGCAUUUAUUGUCGACCUACAGACAAGGGAUUCAAAGCAAUACAUUUUGCCAGAAGUAAUUAUUUGCACAUUCAGCUUUUUAUUUUCUUAUCUCAAUCAAUCUGCAGGCAAAAAUCAUUGCAUACAACACAAAUAUAAUGAUGUGGACAUCAAUUGAUAUCUUGUUUUUUUUAAAGAAAUACAAUGGUUUACAUAGGUUAUGAUAUGGUUAGGUAAAAAUAAUACUAUAAACAAAUUAGCAUAAUAUAUCUAACCCAGAAUAAGAACAUCUAUACAAAGUGAGAGAUGCAACUUUAAAUAAUAACAACAUAGUGUUGAUAUAUGUUAAUUUGUAGAUGUAUAUGUAGUUUUCUGUAUAAUUGUAUUAAUAUAUUCUAUAUUGUUAUUAAUAUUUUUUGUAUAUACUUUGUUAUGACUAAAUGCAUCUGAUUGGUUUAAUUUUUGUCACAUGAUCAUAAAAGCUCAUGUAAUUUUCCAGACCCCGCAACAAACUUCCCGACGAAGGGCCUUCGCUCGAAACAUUGUCCUUGUAUUUUUCAGGUAGUUGCAUCCCUACCAAACAGGGGCAAAACUUGAGUUAGGGGGGGGGUCCAGAAAAAUUUUCCACCCCCUCCCCACCCACCCACCUCUGUUCGCCAGCAUUUUGGGGGAAACAGUGGCCAGAAAUGAAAAUUCGCUGCAGGGCAUCAUCGGUUUGGGCAGGGCAAUUCUGGCAGACACCCCCAAAUUAAAAGGGGGGUAGUUUUGCCCCUGCUACCAAACAAAGCUUCAAAUGAAGAUAGUUCUAUGUUACUACCAUGCACUGUGUGUGGCAUAAUAAAUACACUUAGCACUUUACUGGGAAUCUUUAAACUCCUGUGUUUUGUGACUAAAACUAUUUGUAGAUUAAUUUUGCCACUUGAGAUAAAUCCUCAUGAUCACCAG